rnacentral:rRNA from 1 species
UACAGAGGUCCCAAGCGUUGUUCGGAUUCACUGGGCGUAAAGGGUGCGUAGGUGGCCAGGUAAGUCUGAUGUGAAAUCUCGGAGCUCAACUCCGAAACUGCAUUGGAUACUAUCUGGCUGGAGGGUCGGAGGGGGGACUGGAAUUCUCGGUGUAGCAGUGAAAUGCGUAGAGAUCCGGAGGAACACCAACGGCGUAGGCAGCGCCCUAGACGAGACCUGACGCUCAGGCACGAAAGCGCGGGGAGCGAACAGG